UAUUUGCAUAUUUGUCCUGAAUAUUUGUACAUGUAUGUCGCAUGCACCGUUAUGUACAGUGAACGACGAGCACUUGUAACCUCGGACACAAAAUACACAUUGUGUCCGAGUUGUAACUGACCUUGGAGGAACCGUUUUAUCGUCCAAGAACACAUUCGGUGGUUCGAACAAUAUAGGAUAAUUACAAUUGCAUUGUAAUUGGAUCACAUUGAAGCGUUUUAAAAUACUGGUACAGCCAAGAAGACGCCUCUGUUUUACAAGCGAUAAGUAUCGGUAACAUUCGAGUCUUUUUAGCAGCGUCCACACAGGCUCAUGGGUAAGACGUUUGGAUGAAAUGUCAAUUACGUAGGUCUUUAAGCAUUGAUGUCCCCCUUGGUAGCAGAACCAGCCGAAAAUUGGAAGAACAAGUGGCGUUACUGACUGUAUCGUGUUAAAAAACUUACUAGUUUUAUCAUUGUUGCAUUGUGCUUCUAAAAAAAGGAAGUAUCAAUAUAUCUUUAAUAGUAGUUUAAAGGACAACUCAGUGGGUUAGAUUAAUGUAUAGAAGCAGGUUCUAUGUAAAACUUUGAUCAGAUUU